AAUAAGUGAUGAAAAAAGUUUCGGUCCCAGAUGAUGGCCAGUGAUAAACUUAACGUUUUCUGAUGUU
ensembl:snoRNA SNORD73 Small nucleolar RNA SNORD73